CAUGCAAGUCGAACGGUGAACCCGACUUCGGUCUGGGGAUCAGUGGCGAACGGGUGAGUAACACGUGAGCAACCUGCCCCUAGCUCUGGGAUAACCCCGGGAAACCGGAGCUAAUACCGGAUACGAGACCGAGCGGCAUCGCACGGUCUGGAAAGUUUUUCGGCUAGGGAUGGGCUCGCGGCCUAUCAGCUUGUUGGUGGGGUAACGGCCUACCAAGGCGACGACGGGUAGCCGGCCUGAGAGGGCGACCGGCCACACUGGGACUGAGACACGGCCCAGACUCCUACGGGAGGCAGCAGUGGGGAAUAUUGCGCAAUGGGCGAAAGCCUGACGCAGCGACGCCGCUUGAGGGAUGAAGGCCUUCGGGUUGUAAACCUCUUUCAGCAGGGAAGAAGCAAAAGUGACGGUACCUGCAGAAGAAGCACCGGCUAACUACGUGCCAGCAGCCGCGGUAAUACGUAGGGUGCAAGCGUUGUCCGGAAUUAUUGGGCGUAAAGAGCUCGUAGGCGGUCUGUCGCGUCGGACGUGAAAACCCAGGGCUCAACCCUGGGCCUGCGUUCGAUACGGGCAGACUAGAGUUCGGUAGGGGAGACUGGAAUUCCUGGUGUAGCGGUGAAAUGCGCAGAUAUCAGGAGGAACACCGGUGGCGAAGGCGGGUCUCUGGGCCGAAACUGACGCUGAGGAGCGAAAGCGUGGGGAGCGAACAGGAUUAGAUACCCUGGUAGUCCACGCCGUAAACGAUGGACACUAGGUGUUGGUGGUAUCAACCCCGCCAGUGCCGAAGCUAACGCAUUAAGUGUCCCGCCUG
rnacentral:rRNA from 1 species